ACCAAGUCCUGUUGAUUCUAACACAGAUUCUACUGACAGCUAAUAGCUAUUAGCACUUUAGGGUUUACAGAGAGCUUUCCAAAUACAGCAGCAGUUCUGUGAAGUAUGUGCAGUUGUUAUCCCCAUUUUUGCAGUUGAGAAAACUUUGAGGUAACAAAAGUAAAGUGAUGUGCCCAGCGUCACGUAACUAGUAAAUUUCUGACGAAAGAUUUGAAUUCAGGCCUUCCUGUGACUGUAGUCCCAGUGCUCUAUCCACUGUACCACCUAGCUAUUUCUGAUUUAGAUUCAGAAAUCCUAGAUUUGAACUCAGUGAACCCCAGCUCUCACUGGUAAAAUGAGAAUAUUAGAGUAAAGGAUUUGGGUCCCUUCCCCUUCUAAUUCAAUGAACCUUGGAUUUUUAGAACUUUUAUAGUUUGGGGGGUAGGGUGGGGUGGUAUUCAGGGAUCCAGAAAGAUAUCAAAAAAUGGUAUCAUAAUUAUAAAGCAUAUUAUUUGUGACUCUUUAUUGGAUAUGACAGUUCAUGAUGGGCCAAUCUUUCAUGCUAGCUAACAUUCAUACAUGGAAAUAUGAGAAACAUUUCCUUUUUAAUGUUACCAUAGAAAAACAUUUUAAUAUUUAAGUAAUUGCAAAUGGGCUUUUGAACCAUGACAAAACAAAUUGGGUCUUGAGAAUGCUGGAUUAGAGGUAUCCGCUCCACUCCUUCUCUUUACAGGUAAGGAAACUAAGGUAUUAGGUGAUUAAGUGACUUUUCCAACAUCAUAUAACUAGUAGGUAUUCAGUUUGUCCUCCUAAUUCCAAGCCCAGUGUUGUUUCUGUUAAGUGACAUUGUCCCUCCUAGCUUUGCUCAUAUUUUACUAAUUUUUUUCUUAUAGGGACAAUAAUGGGGAUAGUACAAAUCUUGAUCAAUGAAUCUUAGAGAUGCAAGAAUCCUUUUUGGCUCCCUAAAUACACUGGAUUAUACUGCUAAAAGCAUUUGAUUGGAAAAUUCCAGGACAAGUUGCGCUCUGUUCCUAGGGCACAGGGAAGAUUGUUCCGAAUUUUCUCUAUAGGGGCUCUUCACUACUCUGGGGCUGAUUGUGCUGCAGUCUUCCCCCUGGACUGGGACAAACUGUCAAAAAGAUGUGAUUUCUGCAAUUUGUCUGAAGAGGAAAAGAAGGCAAUCAGAAUUAUCCUUGACUUCUCAGGCUUCUGUAUUCUUACUGAGCAUCAUGAACCCACAGAAUGUUCAUUCAGUAAGGACCACUGAGGGUCAACUUCAAAUGUAAUUCUAAAAUGAACAUCAAAUCAGUGAAAUAGACUGUACUAAGUGAAAUUUCAUAAAGACUAUAAAGGAAGAAAGGACUUCUUUUAAUCAAGAACUGAGAUCAUCUCUUGCUGCAUUGGUUUUCCACAUGCCUCAUUGUCAUUGUUAAAGUACCCUCUUGAAAGGGACCCAUGUGUACAAAAAUGUUUGUGGCAACCCUUUUUAUAGGUGCUAGAAACUGAGUGGAUGCCCAUCAGUUGGAGAAUGGCUGAAUAAAUUACGAUAUAUGAAUGUUAUGGAAUAGUCUCUUUCUAUAAGAAAUGACCAGCAGGAUGAUCUCAGAAGCCUGGAGAGACUUGCAUGAACUGAUGCUAAAUGAAACAAGCAGAACCAGGAGAUAUUGUACAUUGCAAUAACAAGACUAUACAAUGAUAGAGAGAUCUGAACAGAAUUUUGGUAAGCUUUGGUUUUUAAAACUUGCCAGGAUAUAGUGAUAGUCUCUAAAGGAGU
rnacentral:lncRNA from 1 species